UUCGGAAUUCAAAAGACAUGACUUGAUGAGAGCUUAUCCAGGUUGAGUGAUUCCAGAAAUACGUUUAAACUAUAACGCGCAAUACAAAUCUAUUCUUCUCUCACACAGGUUCCUCGUGCCGGGCAACAAAGCGAAAGUAAAAGAGAUGAGGCAAAGCACGAACGUCCAAUCUUCGUUUCUACUCCAGCUGAGACUCAUUGGACAACUCAAUGGUUGCUGUUCCCUUGAAACUUUGGAGCAGUUUGGACCAGGCUGCUGAAGCUGUCGGAAAAGUCAAUGGACCUGACUACAAAUAAAUGAGCAACAUUUCAUUUCAGUGAGACACAGCAUUUCUUGAAUGUCUUGAGCCAAUAUAAUUAAUCUGGUG